ACCUUUACCUGAAGUGAGUUUAUCUUUAUCUUUACCUGAAGUGACUUUACCUUUACCUGAGGUGAGUUUAUCUUUACCUUUACCUGAAGUGAGUUUACCUUUACCUGAAGUGAGUUUACCUUGAGUUUAUCUCGUACCUUUACCUUGAUGAGUGUAUCUCUUAUCUUAUCUUGAUUGAAUGUAUAUCUUAUCUUUAUCUUGAUUAUUAUAAAGUCCUAAGAAUCUGUUCUUCUCUGUGCUUGUCGUGAGUAAAGAAUUGGAUCACGUCAAUAGUGCAGUUUAGGUAUUACAGUUAGGACCCUAAUUAUAUCUUACCUUUUGUGCAUACCCUCUACCACGAGUAGAUGUGGGCUUGCAAUUAUCUUUACCUUUUAGCAUACCCUAUACCAGGAGUAUAGUGGGCUUGCUAGUAUCUUUACCUAGAUUGUGUCUUCCUAUCACUGCUCAAGAGAGUAGAUGUUAAGGAUUAUCUUUUACCUUGAUUUUUAGUUGUUGUUGAUAUCCAGAACCAUAUCAUUAUUUAUGUUUAGAUUUGUAGUAAUGUAGUUUCAACUAGUCUUGAUGAAUUAGUCCCUCAUUGAAUUCUCGGGUGAUUAGUAGAAUUUGUUCGCUCUAGUAUCAAUGUGGGUUUUGAUAUGUUGAUUGUUGUGUAUGGUUCUUGGUUAUACUGUGUUAGGUGUUGUUAAUACACACCUGUAAUUUAGAUUUAAUGAUGGGUUACUAACACUUGAGAAUGCAGAUGGUAAGUAGUGUUAAGAGUUGACUUACUCUAUAAGGUUGUAUAAUUAUAUUUAGAAUGUAAGUGAUUAACGUGUAAUUAUUUGUUUUUCUCUAUCUUUGGUUUUACUAAAUUAAAGUAAAUUAUCUUGUUGAAUAACUCAUGUCGGUCAGUUACACAUCCCUUCUAUGUUCUAUACUUUCUGCAAAUAUGAUUAGAUAUAUCUCGCGUGGCCUCUAUACUGUGUAUGACUUCGUUCCUGAUUUUUGUUCCGUCCCCUCAGCAAAUAGUAUGACUGUUGAGCCUACCAUCAUUAUGUUUUUAUCCCACAACGUUACUCCUUUACCGUGUCCACCCUCAGGUUUGCCCUAGCGUCAGUUAGUUCUGGAAAAUAAAAAAUAAAAAGGAAACUUGUGGAGUUUUCCUUUUUUUUUGCUGGAGAUAAGGGAGAAUGUAGCAGUUAUGCUACGGACCAUUUAAAAUUAAUUACGAUUUUCGAUUCACUCAAUUAAAUUUCAUUAAAAUACCCCUCUAGAAAAUUCUUUGGAGACGCCUAUUUAAUCGCCUAGGUGCCUAUUUUCGCAGCGAAGCAAGAGGAAAGCACCGCGCAUGUUUCUAUCGGAUCGAUACGAAUCGAUUUCCGAUAACAUUGAAGAUCAGUUGGUCAGGAAACGGCUCGAAGGACGGAUGGCGCGCCGCUAGUGAGGUGAUUCUCACUUUUAAGUGACGGGAUUGAGACAAAUUUUCGAUGGAAAUCAAAUAAUUAGAAGGAAAUCAAGCGUCAGCUAAUCCCAUCUACAAAACUAGAUAACCAAAGUUAAACAUCUCUUUGGACUUCUUCACAUAACAGAAGUGGAUAUUCCGGCGUGCCUGCCUUGUUUCAAUCCCGUAACUUAGUUAUUUAGUCACACAACGUGACUCUAUCACGUUGAUUAUGUACUACCUAGUUAGAUUGCUAGCCACUCUGUGAUGGUUUAUCCCUAGAGUGGGCUGUUUUUGUUGGAUAAUACACCAUACCGGAUUUUAUUACAACCAGCAUCUUCACCCAGGACCUUGCAGUAGGACUUACUCACCACAGCAGCCAACCGUUUUAUCGUGCCAAAAGGGAAUUUCCUAAGGAAUUCAUCUCUAUGGACUUGCAACCCUACUUUUAACCGACUGUUGUGUAAAAGCUAAGUUUAUUUACUUUUUCAUUAUUUACUUUUGGGUAAGAUAUAUUUGCUACAUUGUAAACUUUUCGUAUGCAUACGAUUAGGAAGAGUACAUAUAUUUUCGUGAUAGACAGGGUUUUAGGUCGUUGGUUUUUUUUUGAUUUAAUAUAAGUAGUAGUUUUAAAUAAAUAAAAUCAGGUCUUGUUUAAUAAUCAUCAAUAAUUGUAUCUUAAAAUUUAAUAGGGAAUCGGGUUGUAAAAUUUUGUCGCGGAUUUUAAAUAGGGAAUACGUCUCGUAGGUUUUUUUUUUUGUAAAAUAUAUAAAGAGUCACUGACCAACUCAUUUAUAUAGACCUUUUUGCUAUUCCAACGGACUUUUGAUUUGGAUUUUGAUUUUAAUACUUUUGCUUGGCCAGUGAUAGUGGAUAAUUGCUUGUUGAGUGGCCUUUGCGGUCCUAUUUUAUCUUUUCUCCAUCCACUAUCACUGUUAUUACGUUGCGUUAUAUGUAAAGUAUUAUUAUUUAAUAUUUAUUAUUAAUAUAUUUGUAUGUAUUAA